rnacentral:misc_RNA from 1 species
AACGCACAUUGCGCCCCUUGGUAUUCCAUGGGGCAUGCCUGUUCGAGCGUCAUCUACACCCUCAAGCUCUGCUUGGUGUUGGGCGUCUGUUCCGCCUCCGCGCGGGACUCGCCCCAAAGGCAUUGGCAGCGGUCUCUUGCACCUCUCGCGCAGCACAUUGCGCUUCUCGAGGCGAGGCAGGCCGCGACCACGAAGCCACACAUCGUCUUUGACCUCGGAUCAGGUAGGGAUACCCGCUGAACUUAA